rnacentral:lncRNA from 1 species
GUUAAGGACACCACGUCCUUAAUAUUUACACUGCACAUAUGAAGUUAAGGACAUUAUGGCCUUAACAUUUACAUUGCACACAUGAAGUUAAGGACACUAUGUCCUUAACAUUUACGCUGCACAUAUGAAGUUAAGGACAUGAUGUCCUAAAGUUUAACAACAGAAGUUGCAAAUAUAAGUUAAAAACAUUAUGCCCUUUAUAUUUGCAUUGCACACAUGAAGUUAAGGAUACCACGUCCUUAACAUUUACACUGCACAUAUGAAGUUAAGAACAUGAUAUCCUAAAGUUUAACAGCAGAAGGUGCAAAUACAAGACACUUUAUCCUUAAUAUUCACACAACACUUAUGAAGUUAAGGAAACCAUGUCCUUAAUAUUUACACAGCACCCAUGGACAUCACCUCCUUAACAUUUACACUACACAUAUGAAGUUGAGGAUAUGAUCUCCUAAAGUUUAACAGCAGAAGGUGCAAAUACAUGACACUUUGUCCAUAAUAUUUACACAAUACUCAUGAAGUUAAGGACAUCAUGUCCUUAAUAUUUACACAACACUCAUGUCUAGCACAUGAGUAUUUUUGUCCGGGCAGGUAAACAUUUAUUAAGCAGUGGCUAAAGAGUAAAUACAUUUAAAAUAAUGAC